AAUAUGUUGUCCUCGACGGCGAGUGUUCAUCAGAGACAAUGGUAUCGUCAGGAGUGCUCCAGGCUCAGCAGUUGCGGGGUUUGCGCCCUCAUCAUUAUGAUGCCACACUGUUUGGGGUGGUUCAUGUUCUCACAUCUGGCACCAGGCUCACUCUAAGAAUGUCGAGUGUUCCACAAUGGCAUCAGAUUGGAGACUACUUGUCAAUAAAUUUGAGUUGAGGAAAAAAAAAUUGAAAUAAAUAAAAGUUGUUUCUGCCAAA